AACGAACGCUGGCGGCAGGCCUAACACAUGCAAGUCGAGCGAGACCUUCGGGUCUAGCGGCGACGGGUUAGUAACGCGUGGGAACGUGCCCUUCUCUGCGGAAUAGCCACUGGAAACGGUGAGUAAUACCGCAUACGCCCUUCGGGGAAAGAUUUAUCGGAGAAGGAUCGGCCCGCGUUAGAUUAGAUAGUUGGUGGGGUAACGGCCUACCAAGUCUACGAUCUAUAGCUGGUUUUAGAGGAUGAUCAGCAACACUGGGACUGAGACACGGCCCAGACUCCUACGGGAGGCAGCAGUGGGGAAUCUUAGACAAUGGGCGCAAGCCUGAUCUAGCCAUGCCGCGUGUGUGAUGAAGGUCUUAGGAUCGUAAAGCACUUUCGCCAGGGAUGAUAAUGACAGUACCUGGUAAAGAAACCCCGGCUAACUCCGUG
rnacentral:rRNA from 1 species